UAGAGGGUGCUCGAAAGAGAGCCGUAACACAGGUGCUGCAUGGCUGUCGUCAGCUCGUGUCGUGAGAUGUUGGGUUAAGUCCCGCAACGAGCGCAACCCUUGUCAUUAGUUGCUACAUUCAGUUGGGCACUCUAAUGAGACUGCCGGUGACAAGCCGGAGGAAGGUGGGGAUGACGUCAAGUCCUCAUGGCCCUUAUAGGUGGGGCUACACACGUCAUACAAUGGCUGGUACAAAGGGUUGCCAACCCGCGAGGGGGGAGCCAAUCCCAUAAAGCCAGUCGUAGUCCGGAUCGUAGUCUGCAACUCGACUACGUGAAGUCGGAAUCGCUAGUAAUCGUGGAUCAGAAUGUCACGGUGAAUACGUUCCCGGGUCUU
rnacentral:rRNA from 1 species